GGCGCGAUGGCGGAAUAGGCAGACGCAACAGACUUAAAAUCUGUCGGUGGUAACAUCAUGUGGGUUCGACCCCCACUCGCGCUACAA
rnacentral:tRNA from 1 species